rnacentral:lncRNA from 1 species
GAGAGUAAAGGAUAAGAAUUCUGGUUUUUAGCACCCAGCUUUUCCCACCUUGUAGGCUUCCCACAUUAGGUUUGAUGUUUUCUAAAUCCCCCACCACAGACAGGUCUAUACCCCAUUGUACAUGACUCCCCUAGUGUAAAAGGUUCAAGCUCGCUUCAUUUGAACCUCAACCUCACCUGGCUCGCUUAAACUUCCCCAGAUCUCCUGAUACUGAGGGAAAUGCAUUUUCCCAUAUUUCAUUACACAUGAAACAGUCAGAGACCCACCAAGGUAUCAAUGAUGAGGUCACUGUGAGGCAAAAGGAAAUGAGGAUGAUGGGAGCCAGUGGGGCAGGAGCACUGGAGGAGAUGGCACCAGAGAUGGG